ensembl:snoRNA
AUCCUUUAUAGUUCACAAGCGUGAUGUUUGGGGUUUCAUGCGCAUGCGUGAGAUGUGCCUCCCACAAAUCUUGUUACAACGUGGGCACACUACCCAUCUGACA